UACGUAGGCAGCGAGCGUUGUUCGGAGUUACUGGGCGUAAAGGGUGUGUAGGCGGUUGUUUAAGUUUGGUGUGAAAUCUCCCGGCUCCAACUGGGAGGGUGCGCCGAAUACUGAAUGACUUGGAGUGCGGGAGAGGAAAGUGGAAUUCCCGGUGUAGUGGUGAUAUGCGUAGAUAUCGGGAGGAACACCGGUGGCGAAGGCGGAUCUCUGGGCCUUACCUGACGCUCAGGUGCGAAAGCUAGGGGAGCAAACAGG
rnacentral:rRNA from 1 species